GAGACUCCGCUGGGGCCGCCUGUUAUGGUGCUAGCUGCCGUCCCGGUGCGUACUUUCCCAAGGUGAAUUUGACCUUCUUUGCGACAGCUAGGCCCUGACUAAGGUCGACCCACCAAACACUGGAUCGUCCCCAGGCGAAAGAGAGCUUGUUCCCCUCAGCCUGUCGCGGAGGAGCGGAGCCAAUCGAGGGUCUGGUGUCCCCGUCGCCUCUCCAGGGGCAACCUGCGGACUAGGCCAAGGUCUGUAACAGGAUAACGUACCAGCGCCUGGCCCAGGCGUUCCUGCCGCCACCUCCCCGCAUAUCCGGACCGCCGGGACUGCACGCAGCUGGCAAGCGUCCCCCUGUUAACUCUGCAAGGGUGGGGCGGCACCAUUUCUCAGACCAGAAUGUAAAAAUCUUGCUGGAGCUCGGUGCAGUGGCUCACACCUGGAAUCCCAGCACUUAUGGGAGGCCGAGGCAGGAGGAUUGCUUGAGCCCAGGAGUUGGAGACCAGCCUGGGCAACGUAGUGAAACCCCUUCUCUACAAAAAAUACAAAAAUUAGCUGGGCGUGGUGAUGCACACCUGUGGUCCCAGUUACUCAGAAGGCUGAGGUGGGAGAAUCAGUUGAGCCCAGGAGGUCGAGGCUGCAGUGAACCAUCAUGGCACCACUGCACUCCUAGCCUGGACAACAGAUUGUUGCCCUGUCUGAAAAAUAAAAAAAAAUUUCUGAACUAUGCCAGUGAUAAUCUGGUAAAUUAUA
rnacentral:lncRNA from 1 species